UCAACCAGAUUUUUAUAAGUCAGUCGUAACUGUUGGUUGAGUUAUGAUUGUAAGUCAACCGUUGACCCGAAACUCAGCCGUUGUCUCAUAACUCAGCCAUAACGUGAUAUAACUCAGCCGUAACGUACAUUAUGGCUGAGUUAUUGGUGGCACGCGCCUUUUUGACUGACGUGGCAGUAGCAUUUUUCGUAAUUAGUUUUUUCCGGUAACGUGUAAAAAGGGCACGCUGGUAAUUAAAAAACAUUUAAGGAUAAAAAAAAGUUUUGGAUGGUUUCCGUCAAUACAC
rnacentral:lncRNA from 1 species